GUGUUCACUUUAGCAGGACAUACAUUAAAACUGGAACAAUACAGAGAUUAGCAUGGUCCUGUGUGAGGAUGACAUGCAAAUUAACAAAGCAUUCUAUAUUAUU
ensembl:snRNA U6 U6 spliceosomal RNA